UACAGAGGUCUCAAGCGUUGUUCGGAUUCAUUGGGCGUAAGGGUGCGUAGGCGGCGCGGUAAGUCGGGUGUGAAAUCUCGGAGCUUAACUCCGAAACUGCAUUCGAUACUGCCGUGCUUGAGGACUGGAGAGGAGACUGGAAUUUACGGUGUAGCGGUGAAAUGCGUAGAUAUCGUAAGGAAGACCAGUGGCGAAGGCGGGUCUCUGGA
rnacentral:rRNA from 1 species